CGGUGAGCCCAUAUCAUGAACAAGUCAAAAUUGCUAGGUUAAAAUAGUCUAUUUGUUAAGUUGGAGACAAAAUAGUAGGUACAAAUUUAUGUACCAUUAUAUCUCCAAUAAAAAAAAAAAAAAAAAAAAAAAAAAAAAAAAAACUAUUGUACCUAAAAUUUAGAGAGUAUUGCCUGAGAGAUCAUAGUUUUGUUUAUAUUUUCCGGCAGAUAUAGCGUUUCAAAUAAUUCACCUGUACGACAAGCUUCUCAACGCGGUAAACAUGCAUGGAUUAUCACCACUUCAUCUUCUGGCAAGCAAACCAUCUGCCUUCAGAAGUGGAAACCAUAUUAGAGGUUUCCAUAAACUUAUUUAUCAUUGUGAGUGUGUUUUUUUUCUCUACGUUUUUUUGUUAUUUUUAACUUCAAAUCCAAGAUAUUUGAAUCAGAGUGUGAAGGCAUAAAUAAUUAUUACAGAGUUAUCUUUGUAUAAACCGCAUGUUAUUUGUGAAGGUAUAUUUGUUGAUGAGCUGGAGCUAGAAUACAACCACACUCUAUCUGAAGGCCUUAACUACGAAGAAAACGCCGGAUAUCCAGAGAAUUAUCAGACCUGCGUAGGCUUCAUUUUCUUGCUGAGGAAUAUAAUAUGGGUACUGAGUAAGUAUCCAUGAAACAACUAUAUUCUUUUUUUUUUCUCCCUUCUUACAGUUAAAUAUAGAUUCUGUUAAUUAGUGUCUGCUUUAACUCACAACAGCACCGUAACUCCAUAACUAACGCCGUGGACCCGUCUUUUUUCUUUCUGAAGUUUUAAACUUUUCCAGCUAGUUCCAAAUAUAUUAGACACGACAACAAAAUCGAGCUUUUAAAAAUCCUGGAAUUUGUGUCAUAUUUUACAUUAACAAUUUCCCAUUUCCAUGUACGUAGAGACUAAAAGUAUAUAGUAUUUUCAUGUUCUAUUAUUCUUCCCAGUGGGUCACAGCAGUCAACAACAAGAUUCAAAGAAUCCAAAGGGUCAGAGACAUGUUAAUAAACAAGGUGAAGGUUUCUGUUGGAUUCCGUAGCUAGAAAAUACGAUUUAUGGAUGUCUAUAAGAUAUGGUAUCUGUGUUUUGUAGGAAGUAUUGUGUCUGAAGACAAUGUUGUUGGCAAAAAUCAAGAACUAGGUUAAAAGUUUUUUCGUCUUCUCUUUUCCUACAUAUAUAAUAUCUCUUUUGUUGACGCUCUAUUGCUUUUUUCCCUUUUCCAGUUGGCUCUAGUAAAAACACGAUGAACCAGCAAACAGAUCCAGAGGGGCAGCAAUCAUCUGAUCGUAAACUUAAAUUAACUUCAUAUAGACAAUACCUUAUUUCUACUGCACAUUCCAGAUUUUAAAUUAAGAUUUAUAUUAAAAGACAAACCUUAAAAUCGAGCUCGUCUUAUUCUGUUCAGCAGACGCAUCCAGCAGACCCAAAGCUCAAGGACAUCAAUUAUUUCCGGAGAACUACUUCACAUGCUUUCAUGGUCUCAAAUCUUUGUCCAAAGCAAUGCUGGUGAUUCUUGGCUUAGGUAAGCCUCCUACAAACUGAAAAAAAAACAUUUUCAUAAACUCAUUAGAAAUGGCUGAAUUUGAUUUCUCCUGCAAAACAAGGGUCGAUGCAAAUAGUAAAGCUCCGAGAGAAGAAGGAGAAGCAUAUAUGGUCAGUCCAAAUCAUGGAAAAAUUGCUCGAUCAUGCAGCUUCCUAUGAAUACGAAGACAAUGGAAGGACCCCACAACAUUUACCACCACGAAUAAAAGAAACAACACCUUAUGCCCUCGUUGAUGGUUACACUGUUAAUUUCAGGACUCAUUUCCUGAUUCGGAAAUGUUAAAUGUCGUUUCAAUUUCACUAAUACCAUUUUGACUUCAAAUGUGAUUAUGACUGUUUUCGAGUCUAUUUUGGUUAAAUUCAAAGCAUGAAACAUGUAGUCCUCUAAGUUAGCUUUUUAAUCCAACUUGAAUCAGGCUAGAUUGGAUGUCGGCUGACAAAAUUAUGCAUGAAUGAGUUACUGUUUGAGUUAAAGAUAACUCAAAACAUCAAAAUUGUAGGCGGUGUUCAUUAUAUCAUUCAUAUCUUUCUCACCCGACAUCAAAUAUUUGUUGAUUCAAGUUUGAUAAGAAAGCCAACUUAAAGAACGACAAAUCCCGGCGUUUUGACUUUUGCCAAAUUCAAACCCGAAACUGGUAAAAAUCACAUUUGAAGUCCGAAAGAUACUAGUAAAAAUAAAACGGCAUUUAUCAUCUCCCUUUCUGAUUUUGCCAGCCCUAGAAACAGACUGAAGUUGUUACUAACUAUUCUGCAGAUGAAAGAAAGACAGAUGUGGAAAUGGAGAAGAGAGAAACACCGAUUCUUAUUGCGGCAAGGAAUGGCAUAACUGAAAUAGUGGCUAAGAUCCUCGAACUAUUUCCGGUGGCCAUACACGACAUGAACAAUGAGAGGAAGAAUGUAGUUCUGCUUGCGGUUGAGAACAGGCAGCCACACGUGUACGAAUUCUUAAUGAAACGAAAAAUAAUGAAAGAAACCAUUUUCCGCAAAAUGGACAAAGAUGGCAAUAGUGCUCUGCAUCUUGCAGCAAUGUUGGGUGAAAACAAACCCUGGCUCAUCCCAGGUGCUGCACUGCAGAUGCAAUGGGAAAUUAAGUGGUACGAGGUACGAAGAUCGAUUCGUUUUUUUUUUCUUGGCACGAAAAUAAAAUGAAUUUGAUUCUUCUGAAAAAAAAUAAAAAAUGUUUAUGCUUGGUUUCGAUUGAAAUGCAGUUUGUGAAGAAUUCAAUGCCGAUGCACUUUUUCAUACGGUACAACCAGAAGGGGCAAACGCCGAGGGAAAUAUUCAGUGAAUCUCACCAGAAACUGCUCAAGGAGGGCGGAGAGUGGCUGACGAGCACCUCCGAGUCGUGCUCGGUGGUGGCGGCGCUGAUUGCAACGGUGGCGUUCGCGACCUCAG
rnacentral:lncRNA from 1 species